AUCUGAGAUCUGAUACCACAAAUGCCUUAAUGUGGCUGGCAUUCAUGAGAAGGUAUGCAACUAUUGAGGAAAUACGAAGAACUCAGAAUGUCAAGAGAGAAGAGGUUUGUCACAAAGAGGGGUGGCUCCUCUGGAUAAAUCACCUACCUCCUUAUUUUCUCAAUGGAAAGAACACCUCCAACCUGCCACUUCAAGCACUGAGUAGACUCAGCACCAAGUGUGGCAUCGUAGAAAAUUCAGAGAACUCGUGCCUUAAGUUGGGUGAGACAUUGUGCCUCAGUGUCGUCUGCUGUAAAAUGAAGAAAAGAGACCAAUACCAGAUAUGUGCAUGA
rnacentral:lncRNA from 1 species